AUGGACAUGGAGGACAGUUCACUGGGGCUCGCUGGUGUCGACGAUUCCACUUCCAGUCUGCAUCUCUGGUCAAGGACGGUGAAGGGAGCUGCAAAAUGGGUACAAAGCAUGGUCAUUGACCUGGAGAAAGCCAUGCCCAUGGCCAAUCCCCGCGAAGGUGAUGGGGCAUAUGUGGUUGGUUUCACAGAGGGUGUCGGUGUCAUCUUCGUUAGAACAGAUGCUGGCUUAUUCACGCUCGAGCUCAAGUCCGGGCUAGUGAAGAAGGUUGACGAAUUUGGGGUCUACUUUUCCGUUUUACCCUACAUGAGCUUCUACACUCCUGACCGUGGUAGAUUGUCAUCGCUGGCAAGGCUCACUGAUGUCUGA
rnacentral:rRNA from 1 species